UAUGGCCCUAUUUAAAAACAAAGUUAAAAACUCAACAGCAUUCCUGUAGUUUUAAAUAAUACAAAAAAUACCUACUAAAAGCAUUUAAAGAAGAUUUACAAUUUGUAAAUGCAUUUUGGGGAUCCAGCGAUUCAUAGAACUUUGAUAAUUAAUAUUACAGACUGGAUUAUUUUUAAUUUGUGUUGUUUCACUUAAUUUUGUGAAAAACACUAUAAUAAGAAGAAACGUAUUAUUUGCCCACUGUGUACUCUAAAUAUGGUAGUCUGUAUAUAGUUUGUGGCUGUAUAGUUUGUGGAAGUUGCCGUAUAUUGCAACAACAUUUGAAGGAUACAUCAGCAAUUGUUCUAAAUGAACAGAGAAGGCCAGUAGUUCAAUAAAAAGACCAUAUAAUGAGCCAUAAAAGGAAAAUGGAUAAGCAAGAAUUAUUCCCAACAAAGUGAAAGAGGUUAUUGGUUUAAGGCUUUAUUUCGUUUGUUUUUGGUCUUACUUAAGUAAAUAUGUAUUGACUGUUGGUUAAGGGUUUUAUAUUUAUUUUGUACUACUUAUGCUACUAACCUGUAUAAUGUGGUAUUGUUUAUUGUUAAAAUUAUUGUAUUGUAUUGUUGUAAUUACUGUAUUUUCUUGACAUAGAACAGCCAUAAGUUUCUGAUAAGAAACUGCAACAUUCUAAUAAAGUCUGUGAUUAUUAGAACUAUAAA